UAAGCGACUAAGCGUACACGGUGGAUGCCCUGGCAGUCAGAGGCGAUGAAGGACGUGCUAAUCUGCGAUAAGCGUCGGUAAGGUGAUAUGAACCGUUAUAACCGGCGAUUUCCGAAUGGGGAAACCCAGUGUGAUUCGUCACACUAUCAUUAACUGAAUCCAUAGGUUAAUGAGGCGAACCGGGGGAACUGAAACAUCUAAGUACCCCGAGGAAAAGAAAUCAACCGAGAUUCCCCCAGUAGCGGCGAGCGAACGGGGAGCAGCCCAGAGUCUGAAUCAGUGUGUGUGUUAGUGGAAGCGUCUGGAAAGGCGCGCGAUACAGGGUGACAGCCCCGUACACAAAAAUGCACAUGCUGUGAGCUCGAUGAGUAGGGCGGGACACGUGGUAUCCUGUCUGAAUAUGGGGGGACCAUCCUCCAAGGCUAAAUACUCCUGACUGACCGAUAGUGAACCAGUACCGUGAGGGAAAGGCGAAAAGAACCCCGGCGAGGGGAGUGAAAAAGAACCUGAAACCGUGUACGUACAAGCAGUGGGAGCCUCUUUUAUGGGGUGACUGCGUACCUUUUGUAUAAUGGGUCAGCGACUUAUAUUCUGUAGCAAGGUUAACCGAAUAGGGGAGCCGAAGGGAAACCGAGUCUUAACUGGGCGUUAAGUUGCAGGGUAUAGACCCGAAACCCGGUGAUCUAGCCAUGGGCAGGUUGAAGGUUGGGUAACACUAACUGGAGGACCGAACCGACUAAUGUUGAAAAAUUAGCGGAUGACUUGUGGCUGGGGGUGAAAGGCCAAUCAAACCGGGAGAUAGCUGGUUCUCCCCGAAAGCUAUUUAGGUAGCGCCUCGUGAAUUCAUCUCCGGGGGUAGAGCACUGUUUCGGCAAGGGGGUCAUCCCGACUUACCAACCCGAUGCAAACUGCGAAUACCGGAGAAUGUUAUCACGGGAGACACACGGCGGGUGCUAACGUCCGUCGUGAAGAGGGAAACAACCCAGACCGCCAGCUAAGGUCCCAAAGUCAUGGUUAAGUGGGAAACGAUGUGGGAAGGCCCAGACAGCCAGGAUGUUGGCUUAGAAGCAGCCAUCAUUUAAAGAAAGCGUAAUAGCUCACUGGUCGAGUCGGCCUGCGCGGAAGAUGUAACGGGGCUAAACCAUGCACCGAAGCUGCGGCAGCGACGCUUAUGCGUUGUUGGGUAGGGGAGCGUUCUGUAAGCCUGUGAAGGUGUGCUGUGAGGCAUGCUGGAGGUAUCAGAAGUGCGAAUGCUGACAUAAGUAACGAUAAAGCGGGUGAAAAGCCCGCUCGCCGGAAGACCAAGGGUUCCUGUCCAACGUUAAUCGGGGCAGGGUGAGUCGACCCCUAAGGCGAGGCCGAAAGGCGUAGUCGAUGGGAAACAGGUUAAUAUUCCUGUACUUGGUGUUACUGCGAAGGGGGGACGGAGAAGGCUAUGUUGGCCGGGCGACGGUUGUCCCGGUUUAAGCGUGUAGGCUGGUUUUCCAGGCAAAUCCGGAAAAUCAAGGCUGAGGCGUGAUGACGAGGCACUACGGUGCUGAAGCAACAAAUGCCCUGCUUCCAGGAAAAGCCUCUAAGCAUCAGGUAACAUCAAAUCGUACCCCAAACCGACACAGGUGGUCAGGUAGAGAAUACCAAGGCGCUUGAGAGAACUCGGGUGAAGGAACUAGGCAAAAUGGUGCCGUAACUUCGGGAGAAGGCACGCUGAUAUGUAGGUGAAGCGACUUGCUCGUGGAGCUGAAAUCAGUCGAAGAUACCAGCUGGCUGCAACUGUUUAUUAAAAACACAGCACUGUGCAAACACGAAAGUGGACGUAUACGGUGUGACGCCUGCCCGGUGCCGGAAGGUUAAUUGAUGGGGUCAGCGCAAGCGAAGCUCUUGAUCGAAGCCCCGGUAAACGGCGGCCGUAACUAUAACGGUCCUAAGGUAGCGAAAUUCCUUGUCGGGUAAGUUCCGACCUGCACGAAUGGCGUAAUGAUGGCCAGGCUGUCUCCACCCGAGACUCAGUGAAAUUGAACUCGCUGUGAAGAUGCAGUGUACCCGCGGCAAGACGGAAAGACCCCGUGAACCUUUACUAUAGCUUGACACUGAACAUUGAGCCUUGAUGUGUAGGAUAGGUGGGAGGCUUUGAAGUGUGGACGCCAGUCUGCAUGGAGCCGACCUUGAAAUACCACCCUUUAAUGUUUGAUGUUCUAACGUUGGCCCCUAAUCGGGGUUGCGGACAGUGUCUGGUGGGUAGUUUGACUGGGGCGGUCUCCUCCUAAAGAGUAACGGAGGAGCACGAAGGUUGGCUAAUCCUGGUCGGACAUCAGGAGGUUAGUGCAAUGGCAUAAGCCAGCUUGACUGCGAGCGUGACGGCGCGAGCAGGUGCGAAAGCAGGUCAUAGUGAUCCGGUGGUUCUGAAUGGAAGGGCCAUCGCUCAACGGAUAAAAGGUACUCCGGGGAUAACAGGCUGAUACCGCCCAAGAGUUCAUAUCGACGGCGGUGUUUGGCACCUCGAUGUCGGCUCAUCACAUCCUGGGGCUGAAGUAGGUCCCAAGGGUAUGGCUGUUCGCCAUUUAAAGUGGUACGCGAGCUGGGUUUAGAACGUCGUGAGACAGUUCGGUCCCUAUCUGCCGUGGGCGCUGGAGAACUGAGGGGGGCUGCUCCUAGUACGAGAGGACCGGAGUGGACGCAUCACUGGUGUUCGGGUUGUCAUGCCAAUGGCACUGCCCGGUAGCUAAAUGCGGAAGAGAUAAGUGCUGAAAGCAUCUAAGCACGAAACUUGCCCCGAGAUGAGUUCUCCCUGACCCUUUAAGGGUCCUGAAGGAACGUUGAAGACGACGACGUUGAUAGGCCGGGUGUGUAAGCGCAGCGAUGCGUUGAGCUAACCGGUACUAAUGAACCGUGAGGCUUAACCU
rnacentral:rRNA from 1 species